AAAGAGGAGUGGCGAACGGGUGAGUAACACGUGGGUAACCUGCCCAUCAGAGGGGGAUAACACUUGGAAACAGGUGCUAAUACCGCAUAACGCUUUUUCUCGCAUGAGAGAAAGCUGAAAGGCGCUUUUGCGUCACUGAUGGAUGGACCCGCGGUGCAUUAGCUAGUUGGUGAGGUAACGGCUCACCAAGGCAACGAUGCAUAGCCGACCUGAGAGGGUGAUCGGCCACACUGGGACUGAGACACGGCCCAGACUCCUACGGGAGGCAGCAGUAGGGAAUCUUCGGCAAUGGACGAAAGUCUGACCGAGCAACGCCGCGUGAGUGAAGAAGGUUUUCGGAUCGUAAAACUCUGUUGUUAGAGAAGAACAAGGAUGAGAAGAGAAUGUUCAUCCCUUGACGGUAUCUAACCAGAAAGCCACGGCUAACUACGUGCCAGCAGCCGCGGUAAUACGUAGGUGGCAAGCGUUGUCCGGAUUUAUUGGGCGUAAAGCGAGCGCAGGCGGUUUCUUAAGUCUGAUGUGAAAGCCCCCGGCUCAACCGGGGAGGGUCAUUGGAAACUGGGAGACUUGAGUGCAGAAGAGGAGAGUGGAAUUCCAUGUGUAGCGGUGAAAUGCGUAGAUAUAUGGAGGAACACCAGUGGCGAAGGCGGCUCUCUGGUCUGUAACUGACGCUGAGGCUCGAAAGCGUGGGGAGCGAACAGGAUUAGAUACCCUGGUAGUCCACGCCGUAAACGAUGAGUGCUAAGUGUUGGAGGGUUUCCGCCCUUCAGUGCUGCAGCAAA
rnacentral:rRNA from 1 species